rnacentral:rRNA from 1 species
CCUACGGGUGGCAGCAGUGAGGAAUAUUGGUCAAUGGACGCAAGUCUGAACCAGCCAUGCCGCGUGCAGGAAGAAGGUGCUAUGCAUUGUAAACUGCUUUUAUACGGGGGUAAUUACAGAUACGUGUAUCUGGAUGAAAGUACCGUAUGAAUAAGGAUCGGCUAACUCCGUGCCAGCAGCCGCGGUAAUACGGAGGAUCCGAGCGUUAUCCGGAUUUAUUGGGUUUAAAGGGAGCGUAGAUGGGUUGUUAAGUCAGUUGUGAAAGUUUGCGGCUCAACCGUAAAAUUGCAAUUGAUACUGGCAGUCUUGAGUACAGUUGAGGUAGGCGGAAUUCGUGGUGUAGCGGUGAAAUGCUUAGAUAUCACGAAGAACUCCGAUUGCGAAGGCAGCUUACUAAACUGCCACUGACAUUGAUGCUCGAAAGUGUGGGUAUCAAACAGGAUUAGAUACCCGGGUAGUC